GGAUUAGAUACCCUGGUAGUCCAUGCCGUAAACGAUGUCAACUAGCCGUUGGGGACCUUGAGUCCUUAGUGGCGCAGCUAACGCGAUAAGUUGACCGCCUGGGGAGUACGGUCGCAAGACUAAAACUCAAAUGAAUUGACGGGGGCCCGCACAAGCGGUGGAGCAUGUGGUUUAAUUCGAUGCAACGCGAAGAACCUUACCUAGCCUUGACAUGUCUGGAAUCUUGUAGAGAUACGAGAGUGCCUUCGGGAAUCAGAACACAGGUGCUGCAUGGCUGUCGUCAGCUCGUGCCG
rnacentral:rRNA from 1 species